UACGUAGGGGGCAAGCGUUGUCCGGAUUUAUUGGGCGUAAAGCGCGUGUAGGCGGCCAGAUAGGUCUGCUGUGAAAACUCGAGGCUCAACCUCGAGCUGUCGGCGGAAACCAUCUGGCUAGAGUCCGGAAGAGGAGAGUGGAAUUCCUGGUGUAGCGGUGAAAUGCGUAGAUAUCUGGAGGAACACCGGUGGCGAAGGCGGCAUCCUGGACCGGCAUUGACGCUGAGGCGCGAAAGCCAGGGGAGCAAACGGG
rnacentral:rRNA from 1 species